CUACACGCCACAACACUCACAGUCUAACCAUAUUUAUCAUAAUACUGACUGUGAUACUGACUGUAGGAUCAGUGGAAAGCCUUUAGAACAAAAUGUCACAAUAAUACUAGUAACAUUGCAGAAACGUGCAGAAACAGGGACUGCUGUCCAUAAACGUGUCCUGUUGCAUUUAUGUUAUUGUUUGUUUUUUUGUACUUGGAUUUUUAAAAGUGAGAUUCGUACUGCAAGUAAAAUCAUAUCCAUUGCAGGGUAUAAAUGUUGUCUUACAUUACAAAAACUAUAUGGCAAUCACUUUUCCUAGUGUACGAUAUAGAAAGUAGUUUAUACAUAUCCAUUGAUCACUUUACUCUAUAUGAAAAAUGUCUUGUAUUGCACUGCAUUAUGGUCUACUGAGUCUAUCAAGAAAUUGGCAUCAUAAUGUUGAACAAAAGGUUGGGACUGGAGAGAAGCCCCGCUUUUUGAGUCUGAGGGACUGACAACAGAUCUGACAUUAACAAUGUGUAGGGUGGGUUCAGCAAAAGUGGCAGAAGCAUUAAGCAUAAGCAUUGCCCUGUUUUACCAUUUGACUUAGAAUAGAACAGAAAAUCUUGCCACACCAUUAUUUGUCACUUAACAGUCACUUUUAUUUCAUCAUUGUGGGCAUGGUUGAAAGUCAAAGAGAGACUGGUUGGCAUGUAUUCAGGGAAAGUGAACCAGCAAAUGAAUUGGAAUUGGACUCAUCAGCAUAAACGUUAGAACACUGUCCCAUGUUUGCUGAAGGUAUUAGCAAACAGUGUUUUCAAGUAAAGUGGGACACUUUUCUAAGCAUGUUUAAUGCAGCAGCAGAUAUGUUGUCUUGCUAUAAAAGAGUAUAAAAGUGUCCCGCUUUAGCAAACUAGAAAAACCGGAUGAGGAUUGUGCUGGGUUUUAGAGUCUAUAACUUUUACACAAUGUUCUCUUCAAAACGUUACACAAGCAUGUUAACAAAGGUUGUACCAUUUACGGAAAACAUGACUGGUGUAAGUGAAUAUCUGUUAUAGUAGAGCCCCAGCGCAUUUGCCAAAAAGUGGCCCUCUUUUGCUGAACUCAACCUAUAGUCAAAUAUUCAUGCUAUAGUCAAUAUUUUAAUCUUUACUUUUGUCUACAUUUGGUCAGUUUUCCGCAUGAAUAAGAAAAAAAUCACUGCCAAACAUCACAAACAAGAAAGGCAAGGUACAUUGCUAAUGUAUCUUCUGUUAGCUAUUUCAGGUAGGCGCCUCAGGUGCGGUGCUACACUCUCACGUGACAUUCUUCACCUACUGCAACACGAACGAACACACCCUCUCAGUGAGGCGGUCCAUUUAAACUGGCAAUGCCCUGCACACUGUUUUGGUCUGCAAAGCUGUUCUUCAGCUAACUCUUCUGUAGCAUUUCUGUAAACAUUUGCUGCUACCGCGGCUCAUUAGGCAUUUCACAGCCAAGCUCGCCUGUUACCGGUCCUAAUGUCGCUUCAGAAUGACUGUGGAGGAAAUGUGUGUUUGGCGCUAUCAGCUGUUGCUCCUGGUGUUCCCUGACUCCCAGACCAUCAGCUGUUCCCUGACUCCCAGACCAUCAGCUGUUCCCUGACUCCCAGACUAUCAGCUGUGGCCUGAAUGCGCACUUCAAGCCCGAAGCUGUCCUGCUGUGUUGUGGGCAGCCUGGAAACACUUGUUGCAACUUUUCCCUGAGAAACUUGGCCAAUGGGGCUGCUUCAUGCACAAAAACAUGGCUGAGUUUUGUGGGGAAGUAUAACUGAGGUUGGCGCAGUGUUGACACCUCCAGCUGUCUCCAGGGUUGGAAUAAAGAUCUGACACCCGCAGCGGUCCAGCGUAGACACCAGCUGGGCCUGGAGCCAGAGAAAAUGUCUUUCACCUCCUCUAUCAACACCGCCAUUCUCUCUCCUUCACAACUACAGGGGCGAAGUUAAUCCACAUGAAUCUUUCUCGUCAAGAUCAACCUUGGACUUUGGCACGAGAAUUUCGACCGUCAACUAAUAGCAAACCAUAUGGACAACCAUCUACUUGCAUAUUGAUUAUAAUCAAUUUAGUCAGUUUAUAAUGAAGUAUAAACUGCCUCCCAAAAGUGGAAUGGUUAUGUAUCACUUAUGAGAUGGGAGACUUGAAUAAACUGUGUGAACUUAUUAAACCACUAACGACCAAGUUAGCUAGGUCAAAGAGCUGUUUUUACUGACUCACUCAACGUGUUCCUGACUGACUAUGUUAGCUGUUAACUUGUUGGCAACAGUAGUUUGACAACUAGCCCUGUGUGUAGUCCCUACAUCACCAAACUUCUAGCACCGACACAUCGACGCACAAAUGAACUUCAGUUUGCCACUUUCUGAUGUGACCAGGGGUUAAAACUUAUAUUUACAGUUUGUCAGUAUCAGCCUGCUUUUAUGGGAAACCAUCUGCAUUGGCAAAUGUUACGGCAAUACAAUACAAUGGACUAUUUCUUGCUUAAGUUUAUAUGUGAAAUGUAUACACCACUUGGACAGAGGUUUGGAUUCUAAAAUGGAUAAAAGCAUACAUUCUCAAACCAUCCUUUAACAUUCAGUUCUAUGUAGGAUGAGAUCCUGCUCCAACUUAUAGUACAGACCAUGAGUUUAAUACUUCUAAACAUUUCAGAAAUUGCACGAGUUGCACUUUGAAGACAGCAUGGGAUGGCUACACCAUUAUUUAAACUUAAUAUGUCAGUCAUUUCAGCCAUGAGUAGUUCUGUGGGAUACGUUCUGUAACCACAAGAUAUGAGCCUAUGCCAGUGCAUAUUUAUGUUCCAGCUUAGAAAUUGCCUCACUGUGUUCAGCAGAUCUGAAACAUCCAAGAAUAUUACUGUAGGCAUUGUGCACAUACUUAGGGUGAAAAGACUUAGAGUAAAUGAUAUGCUCAUGUAGCACAGAACAAUAACCAAUAAAACAUUUAUUUUGGAGAGUACCAGUCAUGUAUUAUAGAGAAAUUAACCAAUUUCAGAUUGAUACCAGUCAAAACUCUAUGGUUUCAACUGAGUUAUAUUAGUUAUAUAUCAUCAUAGGCUGAAGAUUCAGUUUAUGAAAAGAGUUGUUCAAUUAAAUGCUUAAAUUCAAGCUAAAUAAACAGAGCCACAUCCUUAUAUAUUUUUAUGCACAAAAACUGUAUGGAAUGGAAAUCAGUUGUAAUUGCAGUUGUACGCAUAUUAAAUCCAACAUUUAUAAUACAUGUAAACCAUGUUUAACAAAUAAUUAUGGAUUCUCUGGAUUGAAUUACGCCCAGUUGUGCUCUGUGAGUCCAUUAUUGGGAAUUUUGUAAACUUGCAAUGUCUAA